rnacentral:ncRNA from 1 species
GGUCGGAUGCAUGGCGCCGUUCCUCGGGGAAAGCCGGUCGAACUCCGGCACUGUCCCGCAACCGUAGGCGCUCCGGGCAAUCGCGCGGAGUGCGAGUCGGAUUGCCCGUGGUCCGGUUUUUUC